rnacentral:rRNA from 1 species
UACAGAGGUCUCAAGCGUUGUUCGGAUUCAUUGGGCGUAAAGGGUGUGUAGGUGGCGCGCUAAGUCGGGUGUGAAAUUUCGGAGCUUAACUCCGAAACUGCAUUCGAUACUGGCGUGCUUGAGGACUGGAGAGGAGACUGGAAUUUACGGUGUAGCGGUGAAAUGCGUAGAUAUCGUAAGGAAGACCAGUGGCGAAGGCGGGGUCUCUGGACAGUUCCUACGCUGAGGCACGAAGGCCAGGGGAGCAAACGGG